rnacentral:rRNA from 1 species
UACGAGAGCCUCGAGCGUUAUCCGGAAUUAUUGGGCGUAAAGGGUGCGUAGGUGGUUCUGUUAGUCUUUUGUCAAAUUCUCCCGCUUAACGGGAGAUCCGCGAAGGAAACGGCAGGACUUGAAAGUAGGAGAGGUGUACGGAACUCAUGGUGUAGGGGUGAAAUCCGUUGAUAUCAUGGGGAACACCAAAUGCGAAGGCAGUACACUGGCCUAUAUUUGACACUGAAGCACGAAAGCGUGGGUAGCGAAU